rnacentral:rRNA from 1 species
AUGGCCGGCGGCGUCGUGAUGAACACGGCCGGUGGAAAGCCAUACCCUGGCAAGCUCACUCUGUACGUCGUCUUCACCUGCGUCGUCGCCUCCACGGGCGGCCUCAUCUUCGGGUAUGACAUCGGCAUCUCAGGCGGCGUCACUUCCAUGGACCCCUUCCUCUUGAAGUUCUUCCCAGAGGUGUAUUGGAAGAAACAGGAAGCAAGCAAGAGCAACCAGUACUGCCGCUACGACAACCAGCUGCUACAGGCCUUCACCUCCUCGCUCUACCUUGCCGCCCUCAUUGCCUCCUUCUUUGCCUCCACCGUCACGCGUGUCCUGGGCCGCAGGUGGUCCAUGUUUGCCGGCGGCUUCGCCUUUCUCGUGGGAGCGGGCCUGAACGGCGCCGCGCAGAACAUUGCCAUGCUCAUCGUUGGACGCACAUUGCUCGGAGUCGGCAUCGGGUUCGCCAAUCAGUCUGUGCCGUUGUACAUGUCGGAGAUGGCACCGGCGCGUCUUCGUGGCAUGCUCGGCACUGGUUUCAACCUCAUGAUCACCACCGGCAUCCUGACAGCAGAGCUCAUCAACUACGGUACCAACAAGAUCAAAGGCGGCCAUGGUUGGCGCUUCAGCCUGGGGCUCGCGGCUGUGCCAGCGGCGGUCAUCACGCUCGGCUCACUCUUCCUCCCUGACACCCCCAACUCACUGAUGGAGCGAGGCCACCCAGAUGCGUCCCGUCGGAUGCUACGCCAUAUUCGCGGCACCGACGACAUCGGUGAUGAGUACGCGGACCUGGUGGCAGCAAGGGAGGUGUCAAAGCUAGUGCAACAUCCAUGGCGUAACAUUGUGUUGCGCAAGUACCGUGCGCAGCUCACCAUGGCCGUGCUCAUCCCCUUCUUCCAGCAGCUCUCUGGCAUCAACGUCAUCAACUUCUACGCACCCGUGCUUUUUGAGACGCUCGGUUUUAAAGGGGACGCGUCGCUCGUGUCGUCAGUUAUGACAGGCGGCGUCCUCGUGCUUGGCUCGCUGGUGACAAUGCUCAUCGUCGACAGGCUGGGGCGACGGAAGUUGUUCCUGCAGGGUGGCGCGCAGAUGCUAGUGUCUCAGCUCGCGGUGGGGACGCUGAUCGCGGCAAGGUUCGGGACGAGCGGCGUUGGAGAGAUGCCCAAAGGCUACGCGGCGGCGGUGGUGCUCUUCAUCUGCUUGUACGUGGCGGGCUUUGUGUGGUCGUGGGGUGCGCUGGGGUGGCUGGUGCCGAGCGAGAUCUUCCCGCUGGAGAUCCGGUCGGCGGCGCAGAGCAUCAAUGUAUCGGUGAACAUGCUCUUCACCUUCGUCAUCGCGCAGGCCUUCCUCACGAUGCUCUGCCACAUGAAAUUCGGGCUCUUCUACUUCUUCGCCGGAUGGGGGGUGGUCAUGACCGUCUUCGUCGCGCUCUUCCUGCCGGAGACCAAGAACGUCCCCAUCGAGGAGAUGGUGCUUGUCUGGAAGGGACACUGGUUCUGGAGCAGGUUUGUGGGAGAUGAUGACAUCCACGUUCAAGAGCCUUGA